ACAAAACUGUUUGGAUUUUGAUUCAUAGAUUCGUGAUGUUCAAACUAUCAUUUUAAUUAUAUUUAAUUUGGUGAAUUAUUUUUAUUACGUUAUUAAAAGUUAUUUAUUAAUUUGUGUAAAUUAUAAUCCAAGUUAAAAAUA
rnacentral:pre_miRNA from 1 species